GAGAGAGAGAGAGAGAGAGAGAGAGAGAAGAAAAGAGUAGAGAAGUAGAGAAGAGAAGAGUAGAGAAGAGAAGAGAAGAGAAGAGGGGUGACAAAGAGACAAAUUUGAGGUUGUUAAGCAUUCUCACAUUGGUUUUUUUGUCAUCAGGGUGCAAGUUGGGAUGCCAGUGAGAAAAGAUCUAAGACCUAAGGAGGACCUACAGACAAAGAUGCUUGACUAAAUAAAUGUCUAAACUUGAACACUGAGACUGUCUGAGCCCCAAACACUAAUUGGAAGGCUGUUGUAUACAACUGUGGGUCUUUGUAAGAGAAAGCCCUUUCCUGUAGUCUACCAACAAAUAGCCUGCACCUUUUGUAGCCCUGGGGGACCAUAAUUUAUCAAAAGUUCGCUCAAAUACUGCGACACGAAAGCAGUGGUUUCUACAUCAAUAUAUUGUAAACAAUGCAAGAUUUAAUAGGGAGGAGUGUAGACUGAUUAAAACAGCAGUGGUCAUAUUUCCUCAUUAUGGUAAAAACCCUUGCUACUGAAGUUAUUUAUGAAAUUACUAAAACAUCCAGAAAGGAAAGUGUUACAGGAGUCUUUCUCGAUGGAAGAAAAGCAUGAAGUUAUUUUUCUGCAAGGUUACACACACUGUAAAAAAAUUAUUUUGGUGGGCGGUAAAUAUUACCCUUGCCAAUAGUGUACCAUUUACCUAAUAUGUAAGCCAGCAUGUUUAAUUAUAUAAUAAUGAGUAAUAUUAACCCACACUACCCAAUUAUUUAUAGUAAUAACUGCAAACUAAAAAAACUUUGUAAUAUAUACCCAAAAACGUUGGCCUGUCUGUUAGAGCAAGAGCUAUUUGGGGCACAUGUUUGUUGGGCGAGCUGGAUUGUGGAAAUUGACUACAUUGUCAAGCUUCAGUGCUGCCGCUAAGAUAACUUUUUAGCCUGCAUAUUUAUCAUGUAACAAAAGAAAACGGGCACUUAGUUAGUUUUAUUUGUCAUAAGAUUGUGGUCAUUGUUCUAUGUUAGACGAGGAGUUCACGUAUAGCUUCGGACAUCGGUCAUAGCGAGCUAGCUAAAAACACUUUUUCUCUUGUGCUAAUGUUAAAAAUGUGCUUUUUCUGCAUUAUUGAAGCGCUAAUGGUACUGCAAGAACGCGAUUUCGAAACUUUUACCCGUGCUAUUAUAUUCUAAUCUAAGUUUUAUUAUAUAUAAGUUACCGAAAGGUACAUAGUAACAUAGCUAACUCAUAUAGCUAGCUGUGUGUGACUCCAUUAGCCAAUGUUUCGGCUAACUGAAAGUUUACCAGAAAGCACGUUUAAAUGUUUAAAUGUAAGUGUUGUGGGUAAGACAAAAAGUUUGGUGUUAAGCUUUAGCUACAGCAUUUAAAAUAUAAUUUUAAAGUUGUGCUUAGGAAAUGAUGUUAGUCACGAAAUUGUUAUUUUAAUGUUAAAAAAUAGACAUAUGGAUGUGAAUGUCAGUUAUUUAAUGUCAUAGCAGUUUGAUUUUAAACUCAGCAAUUGAAAACAGGAAAGGACUCAGAGCCGAUCUUUGAUGCAGUCCAACCUCUGACACACCUGACUUUCUCGUACAGUACCACAACUCCCCCCUGUCGUACGCUUUCUUCCAAUCCACAAACACACAAUGCAACUCCUUCUGACCUUUUCUAUACGUCUCCAUCAACAUUCUCAAAGCAACUAAUGCGUCUGUGGUGCUCUUCCUCGUCAUAAGUCCUUCCUCCUCUAUAUUUCAAACACCGCGACAUAGUCGCUGUCCAUCCCGCCCUCGUGCUGAAAUGCGAACGUACCGAUAAAAACAUGAUCGUCAUGAAUAAACUUUAUGUGAUCUGUGUGACAAAAAAAAGAGGAGAAGAUCUCUUUCCGGAUCUACCCAAGAUUCUUUCCUGCACAGCCAUCAGAGAAAAGCUAAUGAAAACACAUCCACACCAAUCAACACUCUGAACCACAAUGUCAGUCCAGUUGCGAGUCAUUAUAGAAGAACACAAUGUGCAAAAGUUGACACUUCCAUUGGGGAUUCCUGAUACUGUGGAAGAUCUUGUUUCAAUAAUUGUUAAAACAUUCCAAUUACAUGGGGAAUAUGGAUUACUUUAUGAAGACAAAGAUUUUGGGAACCAGUUUUUCAGUGUCAUCUCAACUACUGAACUGCAAGACAUGGCCACUGUAAAAAUUGUUAAAAAAAAAAAAAAAAAAAAAAGAACCUACAGUUGUCCUUGACUUACACCCACUAGAAGAAUCAGGACAGUCAUCUGUACUGAGUUCAGUUGAAAGUGAAAUUGACACCACUGCAGAUGACAGUGAAGCAUGCGCUGCAGCUACAGAUGACUGUCGAUCCUCCAGCUCACAAGACAGUUUCUUCCUCCCUGUAUCAUGCCGCACUGAUCCAUGGCCAGUGCCUUUUAAAAUUCCACAGUUUUCACGUGACAUUGAGCUCAUCCUUGAAGAGGCAAACAAGGCAUAUCAUGCCUCUGGAAAGUACUUCCAAGAUGCAAGUAUUAAAUCGGCAAUAUUGCAAGACCUUGCUAAAGCCAUAUUCUCUUACACAGCUUACCCCUCAAGCCAUCAAAUAGCCUCGGUGGCUGAAACACUUGUCGAGAAGUUUCCAUGUCUUAAGGAGCCUGGGUCUUAUGCAGGGAUGUAUGGGUGGCAGCAGCGCAUCAAAUACAAGAUGCACAAUUUUCGCGCCAAGCUGAAGACAUGAAAAUAUUCCUGGUCUGAAAUAGAGAUUAAAGAGGAGUUCCGUCGGAUAACAACUAUUUCCCUGGAACAAACAUUCAUGUUUAAGCUUGACAGUUACACACCCCGUCUUCUGCAGCUGAUGCGUCCCAAAAGAGGUGCUGUUGGUACCAGGAUGCGCCCUCUCCUUAACACUGUAAAUAAGUCUCAGAGUAUUGAGAAUAAAAGGGAUGCAGUGCUCUCCUGCCUAAUUGACUACCUAGGGGAGCCGCAAGAAGAGCUCUUCCAAGACUUCCAGUUAAACAUGAAAAAUGACCAGGAGGGCCAAACAGAACAAACUAUAAAGGUGCUUUUGAUCCAUAAUCCCAUGGCUGAGGAUGAUCCAGUAGACGUAUCUAUUGUGAUAGAGGGCAUCCAAGUGAUCAGUGGGUGUGGAUACAAAACCAAGGCAUGCAUGUUGUUGAUAGGAUUAAUCUAUUCCCUCAACCUUGAAUAUCCCAAGAAGCUCAAGAAUACUUUUGAAGUAUUUCAAAAACUUCUUUUGGAGCUAGAUGGAGGCAAGUGUCUCAAGAAGGUUCACAGCCUCAAAAUUAAACUCAUGGAAUAGACUGCUUCUUGCCUUUUUUUUUUGUUGGUGUUGUUAAUGUCAAAAUGUUUUGAAAUGUAUCUCAUUGUAUACAUAAAAAAUACAUCUAUUCAAAUAUUAAUGUCUCAGGAUACAAUAAUUGGUAAAUUUCAAAUAGAUGUUUGUUAUUUGAAAAAAAUAGGCAUCCUAAGUUUAUUUAAUUAACAAGUAGACACACUAUUUGUGAAAUGUUAGCCUAAUUUUUUUAUUUGUAUUUUUAUAAUGCUGUUUGAAGGAAAAAAAAAAAAAAAAACCUCAAUUUCUUGUGAUCAAGAUAUUC